rnacentral:rRNA from 1 species
AUGCUGGGAAGAGGUAUUAAUUUGAACAAGGGAGAUGUGGCUAGACUCUGGCUUGAUAGACUGGAUGGUAGAAUCCUUUUUAAAGACAGAUUCCCACUGCUCUUUGAGACUUGUAUUGACCAAAAUUGUACUGUUGACAAAUUUAAAUGUCUUGAUCAGAUAUCCUCUUUUAGGAGGAGGAUGUCUCGUGAGAUGAUGAAACAAUGGGAGGAAAUGAAAAAAGAGAUGUUAACACUGAAACAAAGUGAUUUGCCAGAUGAGGUUUAUUGGAAACUAGACAGGUCGGGCAAAUAUAAUACAAAGUCCAUGUACGCAUGGCUAGAGAGGGAUAUAGUAGGAUCUAACUUUAAAUGGAUCUGGGAUGCAAAACUACCUCUUAAAAUACAAAUAUACUUGUGGCAUAUGGCAUAG